rnacentral:lncRNA from 1 species
CAACGCCUGGAAAGGCCAAGGAAAAAGUUUAACAAAAUUUGUUUUCUAUGCCUACAUGGCAAGGUCUGAGACCAUAAUAUUGGUCAUUUUACAAAUUUAGUAGUAAGAAUAAUCAAAUAUGAAACUAUCAAAUCAAAAUAUAUGUAAUUUGCGGGGGUGCCAAAUGCCUUUGGGGGGUGCAAAUAAUUUCUGGGGGUGCGCACCCCCCAGAAUAACUGAUAACAACUACAUGUGAUAUGUUGAUAGGAAUUUGAAUAAGUUUUUAAUUAGUAGGCAUGAUUUAGGAUUUUUGUUUCAAUUUAUGAUUUUCUAUAUAUAUGUAUCUAAUAUCACAACUUCAUGUGAUAUGUUGAUAGGAAUUUGAAUAAGUUUUUAGUAGGCAUGAUUUAGGAUUUUUGUUUUAAUUAAUUUAUGAUUUUCUAUAAAUGGGUG